GAUUUCUGGCUUGAAACAUUUGGCCGGCCACGGUUUCGUGUGUUAGUGCUUUGUGUUCUGGCCAUCCUUCCAAUUGUUUUUUACUUUUCUUCAUUGAUUAGUUAAGAAUAUUGGAUCUUUUACUUUGAAAAAAUUAGAGUGUUUCAAGCAGGCUUUAUGCUAUGAAUACAUUAGCAUGGAAUAAUAAUUUAGGACUUCGGUUCUAUUUUGUUGGUUUCUAGGACUGAAGUAAUGAUUGAUAGGGAUAGUUGGGGGUGCUAGUAUUCAGCGGCCAGAGGUGAAAUUCUCGGAUUCGCUGAAGACUAACUUAUGCGAAAGCAUU
rnacentral:rRNA from 1 species